rnacentral:rRNA from 1 species
UGGGGAAUAUUGGACAAUGGGCGAAAGCCUGAUCCAGCCAUGCCGCGUGUGUGAAGAAGGUCUUCGGAUUGUAAAGCACUUUAAGUUGGGAGGAAGGGCAGUAAGCGAAUACCUUGCUGUUUUGACGUUACCGACAGAAUAAGCACCGGCUAACUCUGUGCCAGCAGCCGCGGUAUUACAGAGGGUGCAAGCGUUAAUCGGAAUUACUGGGCGUAAAGCGCGCGUAGGUGGUUCGUUAAGUUGAAUGUGAAAGCCCCGGGCUCAACCUGGGAACUGCAUCCAAAACUGGCGAGCUAGAGUAGGGCAGAGGGUGGUGGAAUUUCCUGUGUAGCGGUGAAAUGCGUAGAUAUAGGAAGGAACACCAGUGGCGAAGGCGACCACCUGGGCUCAUACUGACACUGAGGUGCGAGAGCGUGGGGAGCAAACAGG